UACGUAGGUGGCAAGCGUUGUCCGGAUUUACUGGGUGUAAAGGGCGUGCAGCCGGAGAGACAAGUCAGAUGUGAAAUCCGCGGGCUCAACUCGUGAACUGCAUUUGAAACUGUUUCCCUUGAGUGUCGGAGAGGUAAUCGGAAUUCCUUGUGUAGCGGUGAAAUGCGUAGAUAUAAGGAAGAACACCAGUGGCGAAGGCGGAUUACUGGACGAUAACUGACGGUGAGGCGCGAAAGCGUGGGGAGCAAACAGG
rnacentral:rRNA from 1 species